rnacentral:tRNA from 2 species
GUGAGUGUAGCUCAGUUGGCAGAGCACCAGGUUGUGGCCCUGGUGGCCGUGGGUUCAAUCCCCAUCACUCACCCCA